UACGUAGGGUGCAAGCGUUAUCCGGAUUUACUGGGCUUAAAGGGUGCGUAGGUGGAUAAUUAAGUCAGUGGUGAAAUCUUCAGGCUUAACCUGGAAACUGCCAUUGAUACUAUUUAUCUUGAAUACUUUGGAGGUAAGCGGAAUAUGUCAUGUAGCGGUGAAAUGCUUAGAUAUGACAUAGAACACCAAUUGCGAAGGCAGCUUACUACACAGUAAUUGACACUGAGGCACGAAAGCGUGGGGAUCAAACAGG
rnacentral:rRNA from 1 species